AAAAAUGCAAGUUUAUUUUUACAGCUAGCAGAUGUUUAGACAGAUUUUUACUCACAGUUAGCUCACUUGUUGCCCCAUGGCUGUUGAUUUUCCCAUGACCAUAGCUGUGCUGACUUUGCAGUAGAAUUCAUAAAGAGGAACUUUUUCAGCUGUCCUUCUGUGCAGUGUUGCUUGUGAGAACAGCCACAUCCAUCUGGGGAAGCAGGGGUAAAAUACUUGAAGGCAAGGCUGACUGUCAGUGUUUCCACUUAGGCCACUCGUCACCAAAACUAUCCAUCUUAAGUUACCUGAGGAUGUGUUAAAUUAUGAAGGAGUAGCUUUGAAAAGUGAAAAUAAGCCAUUAAAUAUCUAUCAUCACCUCUGAAAGAAGAAACUCAAUAGCAAAUUUGUUGUAGCUGCUGCUUAGAUCAAAUCACUUAAAUUUUUUGCUGUUGAAAACCACAAGAUAAUUGAAGGAUGAUGAGCAUGUAAUGUAGUAGGUGUUGUUUCUAUAUCUUACAGGCUUUUAAAUUUCUGUUAGCAACUGUGGUUUUUUUUUUUUUUUUUUUUUUUUUUUUAAGUUUUCAUCCUCCAGAGAACAUUUUUAUUUUAAAGGCUCUCAACAAAUCCUUUUGAGGGAUUGAUUCAAUGUCUCAGUAGGAAAUGCAUUGUUAAGUACUUAUACAUGCUAUCUAUAAAGGAGAUUUGCAGUGUGGAAGUGUUAUUAAGAUUGUGGUACGUCCGUAUAGAUUUAUAGUGUUUGGCCACAGACCUCAAGAAGCAUUACUGUGACCCUGUGGAAUGUCCAUCCUUGACUUACAGGAAGGCUACAGCUUCACUGGAACGUUUUUGCGACCAUUUAGUGGCACAUACUCAGGAAAUGGAGAAGGAGGAAUGGUGCAUAGAUGUUUGAUUCAUUUCCUACUUUUCAGAUUCCCAUCCCCAUGCUUAAGUUUUUUUUAAAGGUGUUUAAGAUUCACCGCUGGGAUGAGAAGUCCAUAUUUAGACCUUGUGCAAGAGCAUUGGUGAGAGGAUCUGGAAUUAAAAUGUCGAUCAAGCUGCAGAGUUUUGCCCCCACAUUACUUUGAAGUGUGCUGUGAAUGUCAGGAUAUUGAAUUGAAGUCAUAAAGUUGAGUGAUACCGAUUUCUCCUUGGAAGUUUUGGCUUACCCUAAGGAAUCAACUUGUUAUGAAUGAGGCAGUGCUUCAUGUAGAUGUGAAGAAGUCCCCUCCUGUCGUCACGUGUAACUGAUCCAUCAUAUGGAACAACAGAGGCAACAGAUGUACAUUAUGUUCAGCUAACCCGAGAGUUACAGGUCAGCGGAGUCCGACAGCUGACAGCAUCCAGUGCAAAGCCAGCUGUGGAUGAUGCUAUCUUGGUUUGGAGAAUAAGAGCUUUUCUCUGGUGACAUUUAAAUGCCUCAGAGCUAAGGACUUCAAAUAAGACGAUCUUUUGUAACUUUCUGACAGCUGUAAUAUCAUUCGUGCCUUUGACAGUUUAAAUCAUAAAUUAACUCAGCUCUUUGUUGCAGUGAGAUUGCUGUUCUUUAUUUAGAUCUCUCCCAGUGCUAACACUAAAUAGUAAAAAAUCAUAAACAAGUUAUUCUCAGGAAAAUCUAGCAGUCAGACGUAUUUAUAACAUUUAUCCCCUUACUACUGAAGGAAAAUUUCAAAGUGAGCUCCCUACCACAACUUGGAACCAAGCAAUAGCUGAAUGCUGAUGUGGAACAUGAUUGGUGGUCUAGAAGUACAAGUAUUUGUCUGAAGUUUUAUAGGGUUGAAAAUGAGCUUAUUAAUGAAAGAUGUCUUGUCUUGCUGUUUGAAUUAUGUACUAAUCCACGUUGAAAUGUUUCUGGUCUAGUGAAAUGAAAACUUGUUCUUUCCAAGUCCUUCAGUAUUCCAAGGCAUACAGAAAACUAAAGUUUCUAAUUUUUUUUAUUUUUUUUAACUCUAGUUUUAAAUAAAGACCUUUUCAAACUA